rnacentral:lncRNA from 1 species
CUGAAAGAGAGACCUCUGUGUGCUGCUGAUAUAAUAUAGAAAAACAGUUUGGCCAGUGUAAUGAGAUAGAUGCACAGUAUUGCAGAAGAGUAAAUAAAUUCAUUGAUGCAGUAGAGUGUAAGGCAGAGUUGAUUAAACAGCUCUGCCUACGUAUCAUUUAGAUGUUUUAAAAUUCAGUGAUUCAUUGGUUUCUGCAGAGAGUGGACUGCUUACAUGGUGCUGGCCCUUUUCAGUUACAUCUAGCUUGCUACAAGAAAUUAAAUUAGUAUAUACAUGAUAAAUAUUUCAUUUAUAUUUUCCAUCUAUACAAAUUAUGGUAGCAAUUAGAGAGGUAUGCGACUGUGAAUGGAAGGGGAAAUUAUCCGUACUGCAGGAAGUGGGAGUCAAAUGAAUACCAAUGAGAGGGAGAGAGCUGCACAAAACAGUCUUUUCUUUAAGAUGACAACACUAUAGAGGGAGAAAAAUAUAAUUAAGAAAAUACAAGUCAUUUAGAUCAGCAAAAUCUACAACGUGUGCUAAACCUCUCUAACUCAAGGAUUUGUGUUUUACCAAUUGUUCUGUGUUGUAUUUUCCUUCUUAAGACAGCAACAUUGCAGACAAGCUAGCAAGCACCCAGACUGAAUAAGAACAGUAUAUGGAACAAUCCAAGAGCCAAGAACAGAGCCGAUGUCGCCUGGUACAUAAAAUUCUCCUGGACUGGACUGUAGUCAUGAACACUCUGCAGAGGGUUACGUUAAUAAAGUGCUCGAUCUUUCUCGUUUGGAAUGAGACGAAGGGCUGGAAAUUUGGGGAUGUCUGCACUACAGCCCAGAGGUGUGAUCUCAUGUAAAUAUACCCAAUAGAGCUUUAAACUAACCCUUUGGGAUACUAAUUGCAAAAUAGGUGCAGGAACAAAGGAGUCAUUUCAGGCUGUAGCAGACCACAUGGGCCAGUCUCAGGGACAGGCCAAAGCAACUGACUUGGGUCGCAGGGCAGGUGGGGGCUUAAGUAGGUUAAUGUGCAAGUGCUUGAGCAGCAACACAUCCAAAGUGACCUGAUUUACAGAGCCAUGGAUUGUAGUGGAGAGAUUAAGCGAAUUUCCUCGCAUGAAGAAAAGAACCAGUAACGAAAGAUGUUUCAGGCUCCUCAUCCUGCCCUCUGCUGAUAGGACAUCCUCCAACUCUUUUAGUACCUGUCUGUGUACUUGGAAAUUGCACGUUUUAGGGUGUUUGAAAGCCAAAAUCAAUUCUGAUCUUAUCUUUUCAGCAUGCUAAAGUAAAACCCCACAUACGAACAACCCUUAUUUUGUCAUACCCAAAUUUUAAUGCUGUGGCUUGAAUCCAUCUAUACUUAUUAUGUACAACAUAUUAAUAAUAUUUAAUUGUAAAUGUCCCUUUUAUUGUUGAUACAUUCCUAGGGUGAGGGAAAUAAGGGACAUUGGCAUGUGCUUCAGAAGUCCUAGGGGUACUGCUACCCAGCCAAGAGCAUUAAAGUUUGUUACAUGAAAAAGCUACUGUUGUCCCUCCUCUCCACGCUUCAUCGCUGCCUGUCUGUAGAUAAAUGUUCGAAAGAGUUGGUGGGUAAUUGUGCUCAAUCUAGUAUGCAUUUAAGGCUUAAAUUGCUUCUUUUAGGCUGAGCCUCCUCGUUCUGUACUUCAGAGUCACUGAAAAACAAAAGAAAACUGAAAAUGUAAAAUUUAGUCUUUGAAAAGGUGCUUCGCAGUCCCAGUUAACUAUCUUAUUGUCUGAGCCUUCUUUAUCCUUGGCAAAUUGCAGAAGAAGAAAUGAUAGAGUUAAUGGGUGUACUUUAUCAAAAAACAGAAAACAAAAGAUUAGGCAUGAAGCUGGCCCACUGACCUACGUGUACUGCAACUUCAGCAUCCAGCAGGAAAAAAAAGGAGGGGGAAGUGGUCAGGAGAAAGGUUAAAUUGCUAGAUGCCUGGGGUGAAGUAACACACCUGACAUUAAACCAUUUAAGUUCAGGCCAAGCCACGUUACCUCACCUUCGGGUCGGUGUGCACAGGCGGUCACUCCAGCCCAGCUGCGAGGUGGUGACUUGCUGAACUUCUGUAACCUGAUGGUGUUGCUGAACCUGCUGUAGUCUGGGCUGAGCCUCUCACUGUCAGUGGUCAGUCGUCACCUACAACGAUCUGGGUGCUGAGGCACAGCCACUCUGUCGUCCACUCUGAAUCAAACGUCGCCCUAAACCACUAAGUCACCUUCUUCUGACUGAAGUUGCCACCAGCAAUGGUAACUUCUACAAAGUGAUUGCAAUGAAUGAUAUUUGCUGUUGUUCUUCCAAAGAAACUUCUUCUCCACAAAAGAAAUCAAAGCACAAGCAACGCUGUUAGCCAUUUGAAUCUGAGUCUGCGUCUAUAUUUUUACGGGUGUUUUGUAACACCGGUGAGGGCCUGGGCGUUCUGUUCAGCCACCUGAAAGCUUUCUGCAAGAUGAGCUUCAACGUUUGGUUUCUCUCUCUGAUUCAUUAAAGAAGAAAACCUGCCCUCACUCAGACGGCUGAUGCCAUUUGGAUGAGGAGAGUGUACAGGCAUCAGACACACCAGAGCGGUGUCAUUAUGAUGACAUGGGAACUGUGUUAGUGUUAGAGGUUGUUUUUAAUUAUUUAGCCGUACCACAGAAGAAUGUGAGGGAAUUUAUUGUAUUAAUUGCGCUUGCCACAAUGAAGGAUUUCUAAGCUCAUUGUGAUAAACCCGAAGCAUUUUUUUUUAUAAUGCACUGGACCUACAUUAUCACUCCUGCAUUUAGAAGGAGAAGAAUCCACAGCCAGCUUCUUUUUCAUUGCUAAAUAAUUUCAUUGCUGAAUAAUAACAUAACCUAUUCAGGCAUUAAAGAGAUACAGAGAAAGUUGUUGUUCACUGUGGUUAGGUUUUACAGCAUGUUGUUGCUUUCUUUGGUUGAGAUUUUUCAUCCUGAUGACAUAAGCUUCAUUUUUAAGCAAAAUUUCUCUCUAAAUCAAACAUAUCCCCUUAGGAAAUUUCAGCUCCUUGGCUGGUUGAUAAUGUGAUUGCAGAUGUUUGCUUUUGGUUUCUUUUGGUUUUUUUUGAACAGGUUACUAAGGUGGCUGAAUGUGAUGUUGUGAUUUAGCAGUUGUUAUUAAGACUCAUGUUCCUGCAAAUCUGGGAUGGGAAUUUCAGUUUAAUCACUGCAAGUUAGAGUUAUGAGGUUCAGAUAAAAUAAAAACUAUUUACAAUUAUGUGGCUGGAGCCUC